rnacentral:rRNA from 1 species
GGAGUUAGCCGGUGCUUCUUCUGUGAGUGAUGUCCUUCCUGCCGGCUAUUAACCCGCAGGCCUUCUUCCUCACUGAAAGUGCUUUACAACCCGAGGGCCUUCUUCACACACGCGGCAUGGCUGGAUCAGGGUUGCCCCCAUUGUCCAAUAUUCCCCACUGCUGCCUCCCGUAGGAGUCUGGGCCGUGUCUCAGUCCCAGUGUGGCUGAUCAUCCUCUCAGACCAGCUACGGAUCGUCGCCUUGGUGAGCCGUUACCUCACCAACCAGCUAAUCCGACAUAGGCUCAUCCGAUAGCGCGAGGCCCGAAGGUCCCCCGCUUUCCCCCGUAGGGCGUAUGCGGUAUUAGCCUGGGUUUCCCCAGGUUAUCCCCCACUACCGGGCAGAUUCCUAUGCAUUACUCACCCGUCCGCCGCUCGCCACCAGGGAGCAAGCUCCCCGUGCUGCCGCUCGACUUGCAUGUGUUAGGCCUGCCGCCAGCGUUCAAUCUGAGCCAGAAUCGAACCCUGA